rnacentral:rRNA from 1 species
GAUUCAAUAACUGUCGCAGGCCACCCACUCGGGUAAGGCGCGUAUAUGGUCCGCCGCGAGCCGGGUGGCGCUUCGUUUACUUCAUGAUAUGUGUACCAUUGCUCUUGCCCACUCGCGAAGGGGUAGACGCGAAAACACAGCCGAACAUUAAGCUGUGAUUCAGUUUAAAGGCGCAACGCAGGAGGCCGUUGUUUGAGCACAGAAUUAACCCUCCCGUCCCCGACACCAGUGUCGCCCAUGGACUUCGCCUAGCUCUGGAAUAGAGAUCUACUGGAGGGGACUAUUCUUAGCAGGUUUGUAUCGAAUUUGGUCUUGCGGCAGGCGGCCGCGGUAAAUACGUGAGGGAGCUAGCGUGGUUCGAUAUUACUGGGAGGUCAAAGCACUCGUAGGCGGCUUUGUAAGUUAGAGGGGAAAGCCUGGAGCUCAACUCCAGAAUUCGCUUUAAGACUUCAUCGCUUGAAUCCAAGAGAGGUGAGUGGAAUUCCGAGUGUAGAGGUGAAAUUCGUAGAUAUUCGGAAGAACACCAGUGGCGAAGGCGGCUCACUGGCUUGGUAUUGACGCUGAGGUGCGAAGGCGUGGGGAGCAAACAGGAUUAGAUACCCUGGUAGUC